rnacentral:rRNA from 1 species
GACGAACGCUGGCGGCGUGCCUAAUACAUGCAAGUAGAACGCUGAAGAGAGGAGCUUGCUCUUCUUGGAUGAGUUGCGAACGGGUGAGUAACGCGUAGGUAACCUGCCUUGUAGCGGGGGAUAACUAUUGGAAACGAUAGCUAAUACCGCAUAACAAUGGAUGACACAUGUCAUUUAUUUGAAAGGGGCAAUUGUUCCACUACAAGAUGGACCUGCGUUGUAUUAGCUAGUAGGUGAGGUAAUGGCUCACCUAGGCGACGAUACAUAGCCGACCUGAGAGGGUGAUCGGCCACACUGGGACUGAGACACGGCCCAGACUCCUACGGGAGGCAGCAGUAGGGAAUCUUCGGCAAUGGGGGCAACCCUGACCGAGCAACGCCGCGUGAGUGAAGAAGGUUGUCGGAUCGUAAAGCUCUGUUGUAAGUCAAGAACGGGUGUGAGAGUGGAAAGUUCACACUGUGACGGUAGCUGACCAGAAAGGGACGGCUAACUACGUG